CCGCGGCGGAUGGGGUCAUGCGUGCCGGUGCCGCCGCCGCACCUGUUGCCGCAGCCCUCGCAGACCCCGCUCCCGGCCCUUGCCGGCCUGGCUGUAAAUAGCUUUUUGGCAGGCUCUUCCUUUGCCUAAAUUAGUAAUGGGUGAAGCUGUUCAGAGGAAGGAAUAUGCAGAGGCUGAUGAGUGAAUCCAUUUGGACCACUAUCUUUUGAACCUUUAGGAGGAACUUUUUGCACAGCUUAUUCUUUAUACAUAGACACAAGGUCAUAAAAUGACACCAGCUCUCCAGAGGGCCUCCUUCUCACAGUUUACUCAUGUAAGGUAGCGCUUUUUAAGGCCUGAAGAAGGGUUUUGUGGCCUAAAACCUUGUUUGUCUCACCCCAGCUAUGUCUGUUGAUCUAAUAAAAGAUGUUACUUUUCCCUA